rnacentral:rRNA from 1 species
UACGUAGGUGGCGAGCGUUGUCCGGAUUUACUGGGCGUAAAGGGAGCGUAGGCGGAUUUUUAAGUGAGAUGUGAAAUACCCGGGCUCAACUUGGGUGCUGCAUUUCAAACUGGAAGUCUAGAGUGCAGGAGAGGAGAGCGGAAUUCCUAGUGUAGCGGUGAAAUGCGUAGAGAUUAGGAAGAACACCAGUGGCGAAGGCGACUCUCUGGACUGUAACUGACGCUGAGGCUCGAAAGCGUGGGGAGCAAACAGGG